ACCGCGGUAGCCCAGUUGGUUAGGGCGUCGGCAGUACUGAUGCCGCGAAGGUCGCAGGUUCAAAUCCUGCCUGCGGUG